rnacentral:lncRNA from 1 species
GGCAUCUCCUCCUGGGCAUGUCCUCAGCUGCUUCUCUUGGCCAUAAUUCUCCCUUUUCUUUGUUACCAGAGUUCUCUUCCUCACAGUGCAGAGGAUAACAUCCCUCAUGCUGGAAUCAGUGCUUUUCCUGCAGAGCUGAAGCUCCGUGCAGAAUCCAAGAGCCAGGGUGAUGGUGAAGGACACAUGGCCAGUGACCCCCUCACAGUGCUCGCUCUCAAUUCCAGCACACUUAGCCCACCGUUCUUCCCAUUUUCUGAAGCAGUUCUAGAAGCCCCUCCACAGCGAGCAAGAUUCCAAACACAGUGACUGCUGCUGCCUGGCACCAUGCAGGAGAAAGGCAGCUCGGAAACAACCAAUGCUGCGACUUCACCCUCUGUAUUCGGUGGAUCGGGCUUGGUGUGACUUCUGCUUUUCCUGGAAAUCAGCAUGAGCACGGAAGGAAAACGUUUUGAGUGGACUCAGGACACUGAGGCAGCCACACCGCACAACCAAAGACCCUCACAGAGAGGACUUCCAGAGCCGCCGC